rnacentral:rRNA from 1 species
UACGAACCGUACGAACGUUAUUCGGAAUCACUGGGCUUAAAGGGUGCGUAGGCGGCGCGGAAAGUUGGGUGUGAAAUCCCUCGGCUCAACCGAGGAAUUGCGCCCAAAACUACCGUGCUUGAGGGAGACAGAGGUGAGCGGAAUUUCCGGUGUAGCGGUGAAAUGCGUAGAUAUCGGAAAGGAACAUCAGUGGCGAAAGCGGACUUCCUGGACC